rnacentral:rRNA from 1 species
GAGCAGCAUGACGCGUGUGCUGAGACGCCUCGGGUUGUAAGCUACUUUCAGCGAGGAAGACGCCUAUCGGUUAAUACCCGGUAGGAUAGACAUCACUCGCAGAAGAAGCACCGGCUAACUCCGUGCCAGCAGCCGCGGUAAUA